UUCCGGUUGAUCCUGCCGGACCUGACUGCUAUCGGAUUGAUACUAAGCCAUGCGAGUCUUUGUAGUAAUACAAGGCAUACGGCUCAGUAACGCGUAGUCAACCUACCCUAUGGACAAGAAUAAUCUCGGGAAACUGAGCAUAAUUCUUGAUAGAUCAUAAUGCCUGGAAUGGUAUAUGGUUAAAAUGAUUCGUCGCCAUAGGAUGGGACUGCGGCCUAUCAGCUUGUUGGUGAGGUAAUGGCCCACCAAGGCGAUAACAGGUACGGGCUCUGGGAGGAGAAGCCCGGAGAUGGGUACUGAGACAAGGACCCAGGCCCUAUGGGGCGCAGCAGGCGAGAAAACUUUGCAAUGUGCGAAAGCACGACAAGGUUAGUCCGAGUGAUUUCUGCUAAAGAGAUCUUUUGCUAGUUAUAAAACCACUAGUGAAUAAGGGGUGGGCAAGUUCUGGUGUCAGCCG
rnacentral:rRNA from 1 species